UGGGGAAUUUUGGACAAUGGGGGAAACCCUGAUCCAGCCAUCCCGCGUGUGCGAUGAAGGCCUUCGGGUUGUAAAGCACUUUUGGCAGGAAAGAAACGUCAUGGGUUAAUACCCCGUGAAACUGACGGUACCUGCAGAAUAAGCACCGGCUAACUACGUGCCAGCAGCCGCGGUAAUACGUAGGGUGCAAGCGUUAAUCGGAAUUACUGGGCGUAAAGCGUGCGCAGGCGGUUCGGAAAGAAAGAUGUGAAAUCCCAGAGCUCAACUUUGGAACUGCAUUUUUAACUGCCGGGCUAGAGUGUGUCAGAGGGAGGUGGAAUUCCGCGUGUAGCAGUGAAAUGCGUAGAUAUGCGGAGGAACACCGAUGGCGAAGGCAGCCUCCUGGGAUAACACUGACGCUCAUGUACGAAAGCGUGGGGAGCAAACAGG
rnacentral:rRNA from 1 species